AGACAAAGUCAGAGACAGAGUUCAGCACACAUCAGUUUGAAGCCGGUAGAGGACAAGAGCUAGAGAAGACAAACAAGGAGAGACAGAAAUAAAGAUAUACAGGAAAGAAGAAAAGAAGGAAAAAGGCCAUACACCAAAAAGCUUUUGUAACUGUCUCUUGGGAUCCAUCCAGCAAACUGCAGAGACUUCACUUUGUGUCCAAGUUACCACACACAAAAGCAGCGUGACUGGGAAUCUACUGGGAGGACAGACUGGUUUGUACUCAGUGUGAGCAGACUGCCAAACACCAUGGCUGACAACGUGAACGAGGAGUCGGAUUAUAACCCAGGGAAAGAUGAGCUGGACUGGGGCUACGAGGAAGGUGUAGAAUGGGGACUCCAUUUCCCAGCAGCAAACGGAGAGUACCAGUCUCCGAUUAACUUAAACUCCAGGGAGGCUCAGUACGACCCGACCCUCCUCGACGUCGGCCUGUCACCGAACUACGUGGUGUGUCGAGACUGUGAGGUCAUCAACGAUGGACACACCGUUCGCAUCAUUCUCAAGUCCAAGUCAGUGGUUACUGGGGGGCCAUUGCCAAGUGAUCACGAGUAUGAGCUCAAUGAGGUUCGAUUCCACUGGGGCAAAGAGAACCAAAGAGGAUCAGAGCACACUGUCAACUUCAAGGCUUUCCCCAUGGAGCUCCAUCUGAUUCACUGGAACAGCACUCUGUUCAACACUUUGGAGGAUGCUCUUGGGAUGAAGAAUGGAGUCCUUAUCAUAUCUCUUUUUGUGCAGAUUGGUAAGGAGCAUCUGGGUCUGAAGGCCAUCACUGAAGUUCUUCAGGACCUGCAGUACAAGGGGAAAAACAAGAUCAUCCCCUGCUUCAACCCCAACACUCUGUUACCUGACCCCUUACUGAGAGACUACUGGGUGUAUGAAGGCUCUCUGACCACACCACCUUGUAGUGAAAAUGUGACCUGGAUCCUCUAUCGCUACCCUCUGACCAUCUCACAGUUACAGAUUGAGGAGUUUCGGAGGCUGCGGUCCCACACUAAAGGGGCAGAACUGCUAGAAGGAAAUGAUGGGUUGUUGGGGGACAACUUCCGCCCCACACAGCCGCUCAGUGACCGGACAGUUCGCGCCGCCUUCCAGUAAUCUUCCCUUUCCACGGAUGAUUCAGAAAAACGAUGGGACCUAAUGGUACAAGUAUAAAAGAAGAGAAGAACAAAGAGUCGAGAAGAGCGGGGAGGAAAUAUGAAAGGAGAAACAGAGAGAUAAAGCUGCAGACUGAAGGGACAAAGAAACUAUUGAUCUCACACCAACGUGUGCUUUUGUGUGUGUGUGCGUGCAUGUGUGUGUGUGUUUGUCUGCAUGAAUGUAGGUGUAUUACUUUUCUUUGUUACCCCUGUCUCUCUUUCUAAUAUUUACUGCAGUCAUGUGAAUGUGAAAUCCAUCUUGUGCUUGAGCGAGUAUUGGGGGUGUGUGACAAGUAUUACUGUAAUGUGUGUGUGUGUGUGUGUGUGUGUGUGUGUGUGUGUGUGUGUGUGUGUUUUGUGUGUCCAGAUUAGAUGAUGGCAGACGUAACAAUCACCUUGUCUCUGCUGUCAUAACACGAGGAAACAUGAAACCACAGACGCACCUGUACACACACAUGCAGACACACACACAAACGUACAGAUUCAAACCGCGCUGUGACCAAGACUCUGAAACACACUGAAAAGCUCUACACAUCAAAGCAAAUACACACACACACACACACGAGCUGCAUGUGUUUAUGUGCUGCAUCCAAUAUGUAGAAACACCUGAAGUGGGUCAUUAUCUGUUACAAACUAAACAAGCUGCUGCAGAUCUGCUCGAAAAGUGAAGGGAAAAACCUCCAUAUUAAAAAAACUGAACAUGAAUACAUUUCUAUGAUGAAAUCACAGCUGAAGGUAGACUGGCCACCAUUAUAGCGGUUGCUCUUUAAUGGUCAGUCGUCAUAAAUCCAUAUGUAAACAUGUAAACAAAUUUAACAAAUGCAAUACUUUUUAAUGAAUUCUUCAUUUUAUAAUCUGUUGUUGUUGUUGUUGUUUUGGAGUUGGAAACAGAAAUAAAGCCCAAAGCCUCUGCUCCUGGAAAUCUA